CUAACGGCUGAACCAGCAACUUGGAGGAAUGUAUAGCAAUUGCUAAUUGUAUCAAUAAAAUAUUGGCACAAUAUCGACUUAGUCGAAUAAAAUUCUAGGUAAAACUAUGAUAAUGACAUUAUUUACCUAUAUGUCUUGACCAAAUUACGUGCCAGCAGUCGCGGUAAUACGUAGAAGACUAGUGUUAUUCAUCUUUAAUAGGUUUAAAGGGUACCUAGACGGUAAAUAAAGCCUUAACUGGGACUAAUUUACUAGAGUUAAAUGUGAGGGAGUUUUAAUGUACUAGAGGUGAAGAGAUGAAAUUCUGUCAUACCUUUUUUCUUUAGAAAAAACUUGGCACAGGUAUAGGUGAAAACAUCUCCUUAUGUAAUAACUGACGUUGAGGGACGAAGGCUUUUUAUCGCGAACAGGAUUAGAUACCCUGGUAGUCAAAGCAGAAAAUGAUGAGUGUCAUAGAUUAGAUAACUAUUUAUUCUAUAAAUGAAAGUGUAAGCACUCCACCUCAAGAGUAAUUUGGCAACAUUGGAACUGAAAUCAUUAGACCGUUUCUGAAACCAGUAGUGAAGUAUGUUGUUUAAUUUGAUAAUCCGCAAAGAACCUUACCACAACUUGAAUGUUUAUGUUUAUAACAUAGAUACAAGUGUUGCACGGCUGUCUUCAGUUAAUGUCGUGAGACUAUGGUUAGCUCCAUUAAAUUAACGUAAACCCUUGCUUUAUUUUUAAAUAGAGCAGUUCUCCACUAUAUUGGAUAAGAUAACA
rnacentral:rRNA from 1 species